CUGACCCAACACGUGCGACUGUUCAAUAUGAAGAGAAUUUAGAAAAGCGGUCUUAGAUAACGAUGAUUAAAGUAAGCAAUAUGCCGAUUUUAAUCAUUGUGUUGUACAAUCGCUUCGGCCUUCUAUUUGCCGGAUUCUUACGCGGGCGGGAGUCCACGCCUACAGCGACCACCUUUCUCAGCUUCUGCAUUUCAACGAAACGCUCAUCUUUUAUUAAUUGGACGUCAUACCGCUCUACUUCGCCACCUAUCUACCUCAAACGGCACACCCCUCCCGCCUACCUAAAAACCGCCUUAUUCUAUUUGUCUGCUUGUACAAUAAGCCUCUCAACUGUUGCAACGUGCACUGCCUUUUAUGCACGUACAUGGUAAUGUUAUAUACAAGUUUAGGUUUCAGUAACGUCGGCCGAAGACUGGUCGGUCAGGAUCCGGCCAAUGGCCGACCUGAUCUAUAUGCGUCCCGGAAAUAGCAGUCAAGACUACA